AUUGAACGCUGGCGGCAGGCUUAACACAUGCAAGUCGAGCGGAGAUGAGGUGCUUGCACCUUAUCUUAGCGGCGGACGGGUGAGUAAUGCUUAGGAAUCUGCCUAUUAGUGGGGGACAACAUUCCGAAAGGAAUGCUAAUACCGCAUACGCCCUACGGGGGAAAGCAGGGGAUCUUCGGACCUUGCGCUAAUAGAUGAGCUUAAGUCGGAUUAGCUAGUUGGUGGGGUAAAGGCCUACCAAGGCGACGAUCUGUAGCGGGCCUGAGAGGAUGAUCAGCCAGACUGGGACUGAGACACGGCCCAGACUCCUACGGGAGGAAGCAGUGGGGAAUAUUGGACAAUGGGCGGAAGCCUGAUCCAGCCAUGCCGCGUGUGUGAAGAAGGCCUUUUGGUUGUAAAGCACUUUAAGCGAGGAGGAGGCUACCUGGAUUAAUACUCUAGGAUAGUGGACGUUACUCGCAGAAUAAGCACCGGCUAACUCUGUGCCAGCCGCCGCCGCAGUAA
rnacentral:rRNA from 1 species